GGAUAGCUCUGUUGGUAGCUCAGCAUGAGACUCUUAAUCUCAGGUUCAUGGGUUUGAGCCCCAUUGGCCA